rnacentral:snRNA from 1 species
AUACUUACCUGGCAGAGGAGAUACCAUGAUCACGAAGGUGGUUUUCCCAGGGCGAGGCUUAUCCAUUGCACUCCGGAUGUGCUGACCCCUGCGAUUUCCCCAAAUGUGGGAAACUCGACUGCAUAAUUUGUGGUAGUGGGGGACUGCGUUCGCGCUCUCCCCUU